rnacentral:rRNA from 1 species
AGCCAAUAGAUACCCGGGUAGUCCACGCCCUAAACGAUGUCUACUAGUUGUUGGAGGAGUGAAAUCCUUCAGUAAACGCAGCUAAACGCGUGAAGUAGACCGCCUGGGGAGUACGGUCGCAAGAUUAAAAACUCAAAGGAAUUGACGGGGGCCCGCACAAGCGGUGGAUUAUGUGGAUUAAAUUCGAUGCAACGCGAAAAACCUUACCUGGCCUUGACAUGCCACUAACGAAGCAGAGAUGCAUUAGGUGCCCGAAAGGGAAAGUGGACACAGGUGCUGCAUGGCUGUCGUCAGCUCGUGUCGUGAGAUGUUGGGUUAAGUCCCGCAACGAGCGCAACCCUUGCCAAUAAUUGCCAUCAUUUAGUUGGGCACUUUAUUGGGACUGCCGGUGACAAACCGGAGGAAGGUGGGGAUGACGUCAAGUCCUCAUGGCCCUUAUGGCCAGGGCUUCACACGUAAUACAAUGGUCGGUACAGAGGGUUGCCAACCCGCGAGGGGUAGCCAAUCCCAGAAAGCCCAUCGUAGUCCGGAUUGUUCUCUGC